rnacentral:misc_RNA from 1 species
GCAGCAUGCUCUAUAUGGUGUAAUAACGUGCAAAGACCUCCUUGUCUCUCAACUGAGCCCAGACCACCUCCCCAGCAUAGUACCCUAGCCAGGUCAUUUCCAGUUCCAGCAGGAAGAAUAGCUAAAGGUGGAGGAGAAAUGAAAUUUUGCUUGUCUAUGGCAUUCAAAACCCAACCAACAGUACCAUCUCCACCACAUACAAGAACUCUGAAGUGAGGCACCUUCCUGAAAAAAUAAAGGCCUACUUCUGGCCCCUCUGUUGAGCUCAAUUCAAAUACCUGAACAGGAUUCAAAAGAA